rnacentral:rRNA from 1 species
AUAUCUGAAACCGGCCCUACGGGGCGCAGCAGGCGCGAAAACUUUACAAUGCGGGCAACCGUGAUAAGGGAACCUCGAGUGCCUGUAUAUGCAGGCUGUCCAGGUGUCUAAAACACACCUGAAGAAAGGGCCGGGCAAGACCGGUGCCAGCCGCCGCGGUAAUACCGGCGGCUCGAGUGGUGGCCGCUUUUAUUGGGCUUAAAGCGUUCGUAGCUGGGUCGUUAAGUCUCUUGGGAAAUCCGGCAGCUCAACUGUCGGGCGUCUAAGAGAUACUGGCGAUCUUGGAACCGGGAGAGGUGAGGGGUACUUCGGGGGUAGGAGUGAAAUCCUGUAAUCCUCGAGGGACCACCUGUGGCGAAGGCGCCUCACCAGAACGGCUUCGACAGUGAGGGACGAAAGCUGGGGGAGCAAACCGGAUUAGAUACCCGGGUAGUCCCAGCCGUAAACAAUGCGCGUUAGGUGA